UACGUAGGGUCCGAGCGUUGUCCGGAUUUAUUGGGCGUAAAGAGCUCGUAGGCGGCUCAGUAAGUCAGAUGUGAAAACUCAGGGCUCAACCCGGAGACGCCAUCUGAUACUGCUGUGGCUUGAGUCUGGUAGGGGAUCACGGAAUUCCUGGUGUAGCGGUGAAAUGCGCAGAUAUCAGGAGGAACACCGAUGGCGAAGGCAGUGAUCUGGGCCAGUACUGACGCUGAGGAGCGAAGCGUGGGAGCAAACAGG
rnacentral:rRNA from 1 species